UAUAAAUGGAUGUCAGGGAGUGCGGCCGGCGCUAGGACCUGCUUGCCGGUGCUCACUUACAGAGCCCCUGGAGAUGGCUGCACCUGGCGCCCAGUUCCCUGGUUCCAGUCCCCGCGCUCUCUCCCCUGCUUCCCUGUGCUCAGUGUAUGAAGCGCCUUCCACUGCUGAAGGUUCCAUCCAUAGAACGAGAACCCACUCCUUCCCCGGGUCAACGUUCCAUCAGCUCAGCCUCUAAUGGCCGGCGAGGGGCUGGAGGAGGAGGAGCUCUGGCUGUAUGGGG